rnacentral:rRNA from 1 species
UACGGAGGGUGCAAACGUUGCUCGGAAUCAUUGGGCGUAAAGCGCACGUAGGCGGUCCGUUAAGUCGGGAGUGAAAGCCCCAGGCUCAACUUGGGAAGUGCUUUCGAAACUGGCGGACUUGAAUACUGGAGAGGAUCGCGGAAUUCCCGGUGUAGAGGUGAAAUUCGUAGAUAUCGGGAGGAACACCGGUGGCGAAGGCGGCGACCUGGGUAGAUACUGACGCUGAGGUGCGAAAGCGUGGGGAGCAAACAGG